CAUAGAUUUGGUCCUAGCCUUUCUAUUAGCUCUCAGUGAGAUCACACAUGCAAGCAUCCACAGCCCUGUGAAAACGCCCUCUAGAUUAUCAGAACAUGAGGGGUGAGUAUCAAGCACGCACAUGCAGCUCAAAACACUUUGCUUAGCCACCCCCCACAGGAAACAGCAGUGACAAACUUUCAGCAAUAAACGUAAAAGUUUAACUAAGUUAUACUGACUAUUAGAGUUGGUCAAUUUCGUGCCAGCCACCACGGCCAUACGAUUGACUCAGGUUAAUAGAGCCGACGAAGAGUGUUUAAGAUUUUCUUCCCAAUAAAGCUAACCUAUAACUAAGUUGUAGAAAACUCCAGUAAUAGUAAAAUAUUCUACGAAAGUGGCUUUAACCCUGAAUACGCUAUAGCUAAGGUACAAACUGGGAUUAGAUACCCCACUGUGCUUAGCCCUAAACCUCAUUAACUUAACCAACAAAAUUAUUCAUCAGAACACUACAAGUAAUAGGUUGAAACUCAAAGGACCUGGCGGUGCUUUAUAUCCUUCUAGAUGAGCCUGUUCUAUAAUCGAUAAAUCCCGAUAGACCUUACCACCUCUUGCCCUCAGCCUGUAUACCGCCAUCUUCAGCAAACUCCUUAAAGAUUGUAAAGUAAGCAGAAGUAUCAUCAUAAAAACGUUAGGUCAAGGUGCAGCCAAUGAGGUGGGAAGAAAUGGGCUACAUUUUCUACCCCAGAAAAUUACACGAUACCCCUUAUGAAACCUAAGGGCUCAAGGUGGAUUUAGCAGUAAACCAAGAAUAGAGAGCUUGAUUGAAACAAGGCCAUUAAGCACGCACACACCGCCCGUCACCCUCCUCAAACACCACACAAAAGUACAUUAACAAUAAAAUACUAAAAACUGGUAUAGAGGGGAUAAGUCGUAACAUGGUAAGCGUACUGGAAAGUGCGCUUGGAC
rnacentral:ncRNA from 1 species